UACGUAGGGUGCAAGCGUUAAUCGGAAUUACUGGGCGUAAAGCGUGCGCAGGCGGUUUUGUAAGUCUGUCGUGAAAGCCCCGGGCUCAACCUGGGAAUUGCGAUGGAGACUGCAAGGCUUGAAUCUGGCAGAGGGGGGUAGAAUUCCACGUGUAGCAGUGAAAUGCGUAGAGAUGUGGAGGAACACCGAUGGCGAAGGCAGCCCCCCUGGGUCAAGAUUGACGCUCAUGCACGAAAGCGUGGGGGAGCAAAAGGG
rnacentral:rRNA from 1 species